rnacentral:rRNA from 1 species
UGAAAGUUAUCAUCUUCAGUACCCCCUGCUCAAUGAAUUUUUAAAUAGCCGCAGUCACCUGUGCUAAGGUAGCAUAAUCAUUUGCCUAAUAAUUAUAGGAUAGAAUGAAAGGGAAAACAUGUGAGCUUCUUUAUUUUUUAAAAAUUUUUAACUUACUAGAUAAGUAAAAACCCUUAUCUCACCGGAGGGACGACAAGACCCUAUCAAACUUUACACUCAAGUUCUGCUGGGGCGGCAAUAAAUUAAACCUUUACAAUAUAACUUCUAACAACCUUUUCUAAGAUACAACAAGUUACUGUAGGGAUAACAGCAUAAUUUUUUCUAAAAGGCCUUAUUUAAGAAAAAGAUUAUGACCUCGAUGUUGAAUUAAGAUCCUCCUAGGAGCAGUAUCCUAGAAAGAAAGUCUGUUCGACUUUUAAUUCUUU